GGGCCCGCACAAGCAGUGGAGCAUGUGGUUUAAUUCGAUGCAACGCGAAGAACCUUACCAGGCCUUGACAUCCUCGGAACUUUCUAGAGAUAGAUUGGUGCCUUCGGGAACCGAGUGACAGGUGCUGCAUGGCUGUCGUCAGCUCGUGUCGUGAGAUGUUGGGUUAAGUCCCGUAACGAGCGCAACCCUUGUCCUUAGUUGCCAGCGGGUAAUGCCGGGGACUCUAGCGAGACUGCCGUUGUCAAAACGGAGGAAGGUGGGGACGACGUCAAGUCAUCAUGGCCCUUAUGGCCUGGGCUACAAACGUGCUACAAUGGUCCGUACAAUGGGUACCCAAGUCGCGAGACGGAGGCAAUCCCAUCAAAGCGGGCCCCAGUUCGGAUUGCAGGCUGCAAUUCGCCUGCAUGAAGCCGGAAUCGCUAG
rnacentral:rRNA from 1 species